rnacentral:rRNA from 1 species
AGAGUUUGAUCCUGGCUCAGGACGAACGCUGGCGGCGUGCCUAACACAUGCAAGUCGAACGGGGACGCGCAAGGAGCAAUCCGAGCGCGUUCGAGUGGCGGACGGGUGAGUAACGCGUGAAGAACCUGCCUUUUCCAGGGGGAUAACGCACCGAAAGGUGUGCUAAUACCGCAUAAGACCACGGUAUCGCAUGAUACAGGGGUCAAAGGAGCAAUCCGGGAGAAGAUGGCUUCGCGUCCGAUUAGAUCGUUGGCGGGGUAAUGGCCCACCAAGUCUGCGAUCGGUAGCCGACCUGAGAGGGUGAUCGGCCACAUUGGGACUGAGACACGGCCCAGACUCCUACGGGAGGCAGCAGUGGGGGAUAUUGCGCAAUGGGGGAAACCCUGACGCAGCAACGCCGCGUGAAGGAAGAAGGUUUUCGGAUUGUAAACUUCUUUUAUUAAGGACGAACAAUGACGGUACUUAAUGAAUAAGCUCCGGCUAACUACGUGCCAGCAGCCGCGGUAAUACGUAGGGAGCGAGCGUUGUCCGGAUUUACUGGGUGUAAAGGGUGCGUAGGCGGCAUAGCAAGUCAGAUGUGAAAUGUAUGGGCUUAACCCAUGAACUGCAUUUGAAACUGCUAAGCUUGAGUGAAGUAGAGGUAGGCGGAAUUCCCUGUGUAGCGGUGAAAUGCGUAGAGAUAGGGAGGAACACCAGUGGCGAAGGCGGCCUACUGGGCUUUAACUGACGCUGAGGCACGAAAGCGUGGGUAGCAAACAGGAUUAGAUACCCUGGUAGUCCACGCUGUAAACGAUGAUUACUAGGUGUGGGGGGUCUGACCCCCUCCGUGCCGCAGUUAACACAAUAAGUAAUCCACCUGGGGAGUACGGCCGCAAGGUUGAAACUCAAAGGAAUUGACGGGGGCCCGCACAAGCAGUGGAGUAUGUGGUUUAAUUCGAAGCAACGCGAAGAACCUUACCAGGUCUUGACAUCCAACUAACGAAGUAGAGAUACAUUAGGUGCCCUUCGGGGAAAGUUGAGACAGGUGGUGCAUGGUUGUCGUCAGCUCGUGUCGUGAGAUGUUGGGUUAAGUCCCGCAACGAGCGCAACCCUUGCUAUUAGUUGCUACGCAAGAGCACUCUAAUAGGACUGCCGUUGACAAAACGGAGGAAGGUGGGGACGACGUCAAAUCAUCAUGCCCUUUAUGACCUGGGCCACACACGUACUACAAUGGCUAUUAACAGAGAGAAGCGAUACCGCGAGGUGGAGCAAACCUCACAAAAAUAGUCUCAGUUCGGAUUGGAGGCUGCAACCCGCCUCCAUGAAGCCGGAAUUGCUAGUAAUCGCGGAUCAGCAUGCCGCGGUGAAUACGUUCCCGGGCCUUGUACACACCGCCCGUCACACCAUGAGAGCCGGGGGGACCCGAAGUCAGUAGUCUAACCGCAAGGAGGACGCUGCCGAAGGUAAAACUGGUGAUUGGGGUGAAGUCGUAACAAGGUAACC